CCCAGGUAUUCCUUAAAGAGGUGGGGUUUCGGGUGUCUCCGGAAGGUGGUGAUUGACUCCGCUGUCCUGGCGUCGUGAGGGAGCUUGUUCCACCAUUGGGGUGCCAGAGCAGCGAACAGUUUUGACUGGGCUGAGCGGGAACUGUGCUUCCUCAGAGGUAGGGGGGCCAGCAGGCCAGAGGUGGAUGAACGCAGUGCCCUUGUUUGGGUGUAGGGCCUGAUCAGAGCCUGAAGGUACGGCUCUGGAUGAUCUGGAUGAGACUGACGAAUCGAGGCAAAGGUCAGAAUCUCUGGAUCAACUAUCUAAUGUUAGUUAAAUGUAGUAAUGAAGAAAUUGUCUAGAUUUCUUUAAACGGACAAUUCUGUUAACUGUCUUGUGCAGGUUUUAAAUUGACACAAUACCUGUUAGUAAAGGUAUCAGCUAGAGGAGACCUGCAGGAUCAAUACCUGUUAGAUAUCAGCUAGAGGAGACCUGCAGGAUCAAUACCUGUUAGAAAAGGUAUCAGCUAGAGGAGACCUGCAGGAUCAAUACCUGUUAGGUGUCAGCUAGAGGAGACCUGUAGGAUCAAUACCUGUUAGAUAUCAGCUAGAGAUGAGAUGCAGGGUUUUGAAGUCUUGCAUGAUGUCUUCUUUGAGGCUAAUUAGCAUUUUUUUUUUUUUACUGAGUGUAAAUACAGGCUAAUAUAUUGAUAAAAGUCACCUUGUCCUAGAGAGAUUUACACGGUUAUCAAAACUUCACGCCAUGGUAAGCCUUCCCGAAACACAGACCUUAUUUAAAGUUUCUAAUUUCCUUGUUUGACCGCUAGGUUUUAUGGGUAUUAUGACACCUCCACUGUGGGGCUCUAUUAACAGAGGCUCAUUGGUCAAAACGUGUGUUUUUUAUGAAUAAACACUGAAAAUAAGGUCUGUGGUUUAGGAGUUCUGAUGCAUUAUUCUAUUGGAUCAUCUUGAUCAGCUAACGUCACUUUAUAUAAUCCAAACAAGCACAUAAAGGCUUCAUAAUUCAUAAAGGUCAUGUUUAACUGCCUCAUAGACCAACUCAGUGGCCUUGUGGUUACAGUGUCCUGAGAUUGGAAAGUUAUGAAUUCAAUCUCUGGUCGAGUCAAACCGAAGAAAAACCUGACAAGUCUCCGCUUGACAUUCAGCAUUAAGGAGAUAAGAUCGGGGUUAAGGCCCUGUGAUAGGCUAGCGUCCUGGGUACGGCCCUGUGAUGGGCUAGCGUCCUGGGUACGGCCCUGUGAUGGGCUAGCGUCCUGGGUACGGCCCUGUGAUGGGCAAGCGUCCUGGAUACGGCCCUGUGAUAGGCCGGCGUCCUGUCCAGGGGUACGGCCCUGUGAUAGGCUGGCGUCCUGUCCAGGGGUUAAGGCCCUGUGAUAGGCCAGCAUCCUGUCCAAGAGGUGGUACUUGUACAUCAAGCUGCCUCUCACUACAGAAACAGGAGGUAGACUCCUGCCCUAUGGGCCGUUCUCAUCAAGCUGCCUCUCACUACAGAAACAGGAGAUAGACUCCUGCCCUAUGGGCCGUUCUCAUCAAGCUGCCUCUCACUACAGAAACAGGAGAUAGACUCCUGCCCUAUGGGCCGUUCUCAUCACGCUGCCUCUCACUACAGAAACAGGAGAUAGACUCCUGCCCUAUGGGCCGUUCUCAUCAAGCUGCCUCUCACUACAGAAUCAGGAGAUAGACUCCUGCCCUAUGGGCCGUUCUCAUCAAGCUGCCUCUCACUACAGAAACAGGAGAUAGACUCCUGUCCUAUGGGCCGUUCUCAUCAAGCUGCCUCUCACUACAGAAACAGGAGGUAGACUCCUGCCCUAUGGGCCGUUCUCAUCACGCUGCCUCUCGCUACAGAAACAGGAGAUAGACUCCUGCCCUAUGGGCCGGUCUCAUCAAGCUGCCUCUCACUACAGAAACAGGAGAUAGACUCCUGCCCUAUGGGCCGUUCUCAUCACGCUGCCUCUCACUACAGAAACAGGAGGUAGACUCCUGCCCUAUGGGCCGUUCUCAUCAAGCUGCCUCUCACUACAGAAACAGGAGGUAGACUCCUGCCCUAUGGGCCGUUCUCAUCACGCUGCCUCUCACUACAGAAACAGGAGAUAGACUCCUGUCCUAUGGGCCGUUCUCAUCAAGCUGCCUCUCACUACAGAAACAGGAGAUGGACUCCUGCCCUAUGGGCCGUUCUCAUCACGCUGCCUGAUAUUAUCUCAUAGAACAAAACGUGUCAAAUCUCCGAAACCUGUUAGCCUCAGACCGCGUUAUCCAAAACACCUCCAAAAGCGGCAUUAAAUUUCCCCCCGUAGGCUUUGAGCAACGAGCCAUUGGGACUACAAGCUGGCGAGCCCUAUAGCUCUGUUCCAAAGUCCAAUUCAUUUAUUAGUCUCUCAAAUCCGUGUAUUUCUUUACACACCUAUGACCGCAUAUUGUGUGGAAGCUCAGGGGGGGGAAGCUAAAUUCCAGACCACGAUGUCUUUCUCGCUCUCUUGUAAUAAAUGUGAUCAAAUUGGCCAAUAGGAGACUUGUUGAAUGCCUUCCAGUCCUUGUGAUAACCUCUCUCUGUCUCUCUCUCUCUCUCUGUCUCUCUCUCUGUCUCUCUCUCUGUCUGUCUCUCUCUCUCUCUUCUCUCUCCUCUCUCUCUCUCUCUCUCAGCUCGGUCUAUCCCCCCCCCCCCCAGAGCAGCAGGGUAGACCAGUCAGGCAGGCAUGGCUUCGUGUUGUGAAUGAACAACUCAGGCACGUUCUCACAUUCCUCAAGGCAAACAGCACAGAGAUUGCUGAGAUUAUCAUAAUUGUCCUAUUUCGUGCAAUAGUUCCGUAUACGCUUACCUUUCAAAAGACUACAGGCACUGGGUAGCUGUAAGUAUAAGGGUUAUUACACCAUCAUUGGAUACAAGUGUCACUAAAUGAAGACCUGAAUCAAAUGUAGCCUACAGUAGUCGCUAAUUCCUACCUUUUUGUGAUGACGACCAACUGUGAUUUGAUGCGGGGUAAAAUGACAUGGUUGCUGCACAGCCAGCCCAGCCAAUCGGAAGGCUUAUCCUGAGCAAUAACCGCUGCAACCUGGUCUCAGAGCUUUUUGUAUUAUUCUGUACGUAAAUCUGGGGAAACUCAAUUUCCUGUGUUAUUUUAUGUAUUAAUUUGUGGAUGUCUAUCACCCAUUUCGUAUGAUAUGUUACGAAAUACGAUUUGUAUUAUAUGUUACGAAUUCUAGCUCGGCUAGGGGUUUUUGAGUUAGGCUAAAGAGUUAAGUGUUAGCUAACAUGCUAAAUGGUUGCAAAGUUUCAACAAAAAAAAAAGUAGUAAGUAGAUAAAAUGCUAAAGUUGUCUGUGAUGCGAUUCGAACUCACAACCUUUCGGUUACUAGACGUUGGCUUUAUACACCCACUCAUCCGACUUCCGUUUUUUUUUUUUACCUCAAGUAAACCAUCUGUCUUAUACAACCCUAUCAAACAUGCCAUACUAAUUUUACAGUCCCGGAUUUACGUUUACUAUGUAAUGACAGUGUAUGAGACCAGGCUGUAACAACCACAUCGAUGAGAGCCGACGUGCACUUAAUAAUACCGUGCGCGAUAUGUAGGCUACGCAAACAAAGGCAACACGCCAGAAACCUUGGGACUUUUCAAAACGUACCAAGUUACUUUCAUCGAGCUUCUGAAUUCUAUAAAUGAAUUCAGAGAACAGCCAACUGUUUCGAGAGAUAAACCAACAAGUAUCAGUGAACAGGCGCUCUUUGCUUUACCAAAAAUAAUCUGGCCAGCAUUCCGGAAACAAAUGGUGACUGUGUCCCCUACUAGAGCGUUCAAUCUGUCUUUAUUUGUGCUCGGAUUGUGAAAGUCUACCGUAAUAAUCGCCCUACCCAUGUGAACUCGGUAUAAUUGAUUUAAGUAACAAAUUGUCCCCAGUAGCUGCUGAAAGAAACACAGUUGUCUGUGGGGGAGGGGUGGCCCUGGACAAACCGAGCAUGUGAGUCGUGACAUGAUCUUUCUAUGUAGAGAAAGCGCCUAGAUAAAUACAAAAAAAAAACGAAAUGUAGCCAGUAGAUGAACUAACUACCUACUGCAACAGUCUCCCACUCCAAUACUGAGCAAACAAAUAAUAAUAAUGUAGAGAUACCGUGUGUGUUACAGUGUUGCAAGCUCACCAGUUGAACAAGAAAGUGUCUCAUUGGUAAAUCAAUGCUGAUUGUUGGCUUCGUUUUUUUACAUUAUUCUGUCGGUCCAAAAUAAUGACAUCAGUUUCAGAGGAAAAAGGCCGGAUCACCUUGACUGUUAACCUUGAACCCUGAUUCCUUCCAAAAAAAUCUAACUGUAUUGGGAUAAAACUACUAAUUACCGAGGUAAUGGAUGUCCCCCAUUGUCAUUUGGCACAUUAUUUUGUUCAGAGAAAUAAAGUAAUUGAUAUUUACCAACUCUUAUCAAUGUUUUCCAUUCUGGGCUGACAGCAGAAACAAGCAUGCCAUUAUGGCAAGACAAGCACAUGUUAGUUGCAAUCCAACACCAUAUCAUGUAAAUGAUGUCCUUCAAAAUGACCUCUUUGGCAAAGGACACCGAGUCUAGCUUUCGUUGUACGUGAUCGACCCGGGUUUAAACGAAUAAUAACGGAUAGGAACAUUAUUAACGUUCACUUGACCUAAAAGUCUGAAUAUAUUUCAACUGCCUUUUUUUUUUAUUUUUUUUUUUUUUUAGACAGAACUAAUUUUCAUGACAUUUAUUUUGAAUCGUAUUCCAUCAAUAGGUUAUACGGUUAUUUUACAGAAGAGUUUUUUAUAAAUCACGUUUAAUUGAUUUGUCAUGUUUCCAUUGAAGAGUGAAUGAUCUCUACACAGCACGCUAUGGUCAAUCAAACAGGUGCUGUAUCAGGAAAUACAGAACGACUCAGGAACUCUCUGUGCCGUUACAUUAUUCUGACAAUACACGGAAACAACAGGGCUACAACUCCUAUCGUUCUUAUCCUCCAGUUCAUUUCAAGAAAAAGCGUCGAUUAAAAGUAGUUUAUUACGGAUUUAUGUACUUACACCAACUGCCACCAGUGCGUCCUAGAAAUUCCUUCUUUUCCGAAUUCCACAGAAAGCUCUUCCAUCCACCGUCUCCAUCUUUAUUUGCCGACAUCUUUUUUUUUUGCCUUUUAAUUUCCCUUUUCAAUCAAUAUUAUCUAAUGGGUGUAGGUACCCGAUUCGUGUACUGUCCCCCGGUACAGAAUAGUAAAGGACAGUUUCGUACCCGGCUCUCCUAUUGUACACCACACAUUUAGUUCUUAUGGUAUCCGACUCCGCCCGCAAACUCUUGUAAUAAGUUACCUACAAAGAGGGGGGGGCUAACUCUGACCAAUCACAAGCGGUCAUCCUUCUGCGUAAGAAUCAAGGGGGCAACAGCUAUGAUCACUGCUCUAUGAAGGCAAGACUGCUCUAUGAAGGCAAGACUGCUCUAUGAAGGCAAGACUGCUCUAUGAAUGCAAGACUGCUCUAUGAAUGCAAGACUGCUCUAUGAAGGCAAGACUGCUCUAUGAAGGCAAGACUGCUCCACGAGGCAAGACUGCUCUAUGAAGGCAAGACUGCUCUAUGAAGGCAAGACUGCUCUAUGAAGACAAGACUGCUCUAUGAAGGCAAGACUGCUCUAUGAAGACAAGACUGCUCUAUGAAGGCAAGACUGCUCCACGAGGCAAGACUGCUCUAUGAAGGCAAGACUGCUCCACGAGGCAAGACUGCUCCAUGAGGCAAGACUACUCUAUGAAGGCAAGACUGCUCCACGAGGCAAGACUGCUCCACGAGGCAAGACUGCUCUAUGAAGGCAAGACUGCUCCAUGAAGGCAAGACUGCUCCAUGAAGGCAAGACUGCUCUAUGAAGGCAAGACUGCUCCAUGAAGGCAAGACUGCUCCACGAGGCAAGACUGCUCUAUGAAGGCAAGACUGCUCUAUGAAGGCAAGACUGCUCCAUGAGUCAAGACUGCUCUAUGAAGGCAAGACUGCUCCAUGAAAGCAAGACUGCUCCAUGAGUCAAGACUGCUCCAUGAGGGUUCAAAACGAAAUGGUGUCAACUCAAAUGGUAGAAUUAUUAAACCCGAAAUAGAAUUAAAACAAUUCUAUGUUGAUGUCAUAAACUCGGAAACAUUAUAUUACCAUUCUUGGAGUUCUAUUAUCACAUCGCAGGUUUAAAAAGUAAUUAUAUUUCUCAGGAGUCAACUUUGUACUUUAGUACAUUUGAUUAUAAUUGUUGCUAAAUAUCACAUCCAUAAAAUUAAUUGUUUAUUAAGGGGGGGGGAAAAACAUCUUAUUCAAUAUUUUUUUUUUUAAGGUAGACUUAAAUAAUUACUUUGCCAAAUUGCU
rnacentral:lncRNA from 1 species